rnacentral:rRNA from 1 species
GGAGGGUGCAAGCGUUAAUCGGAAUUACUGGGCGUAAAGCGCACGCAGGUGGCUGAGUCAGUCGGAUGUGAAAGCCCUGGGCUUAACCUGGGAAUUGCAUUCGAUACUACUCAGCUAGAGUAUGGGAGAGGGAAGUGGAAUUCCCGGUGUAGCGGUGAAAUGCGUAGAUAUCGGGAGGAACAUCAGUGGCGAAGGCGGCUUCCUGGCCCAAUACUGACACUCAGGUGCGACAGCGUGGGGAGUAAACAGGAUUAGAUACCCUGGUAGUCCACGCCGUAAACGAUGAGAACUAGAUGUCGGGGGGGAUUAGCCCCUCGGUGUCGCAGCUAACGCGCUAAGUUCUCCGCCUGGGGAGUACGGCCGCAAGGUUG